CCUACGGGAGGCAGCAGUGGGGAAUAUUGCACAAUGGGGGAAACCCUGAUGCAGCGACGCCGCGUGAGUGAAGAAGUAUCUCGGUACGUAAAGCUCUAUCAGCAGGGAAGAAAAUGUCGGUACCUGACUAAGAAGCCCCGGCUAACUACGUGCCAGCAGCCGCGGUAAUACGGAGGGGGCAAGCGUUAUCCGGAUUUACUGGGUGUAAAGGGAGCGUAGACGGCAGGACAAGUCUGGAGUGAAAACCCGGGGCUUAACCCCGGAACUGCGUUGGAAACUGUGCGGCUGGAGUGCAGGAGGGGUAAGCGGAAUUCCUAGUGUAGCGGUGAAAUGCGUAGAUAUUAGGAGGAACAUCGGUGGCGAAGGCGGCUUACUGGACUGUAACUGACGUUGAGGCUCGAAAGCGUGGGGAGCAAACAGGAUUAGAUACCCGGGUAGUC
rnacentral:rRNA from 1 species